rnacentral:rRNA from 1 species
GCCGAGCACUCCUACGGGAGGCAGCAGUGGGGAAUAUUGCACAAUGGGCGCAAGCCUGAUGCAGCCAUGCCGCGUGUAUGAAGAAGGCCUUCGGGUUGUAAAGUACUUUCAGCAGUGAGGAAGGUGGGUAUGUUAAUAGCAUACUCAUUUGACGUUAGCUGCAGAAGAAGCACCGGCUAACUCCGUGCCAGCAGCCGCGGUAAUACGGAGGGUGCGAGCGUUAAUCGGAAUUACUGGGCGUAAAGCGCAUGCAGGUGGUUUGUUAAGUCAGAUGUGAAAGCCCGGGGCUCAACCUCGGAAUUGCAUUUGAAACUGGCAAACUAGAGUACUGUAGAGGGGGUAGAAUUUCAGGUGUAGCGGUGAAAUGCGUAGAGAUCUGAAGGAAUACCGGUGGCGAAGGCGGCCCCCUGGACAGAUACUGACACUCAGAUGCGAAAGCGUGGGGAGCAAACAGGAUUAGAUACCCUGGUAG